AUUGAACGCUGGCGGCAGGCCUAACACAUGCAAGUCGAACGGUAACAGGAAGAAGCUUGCUUCUUUGCUGACGAGUGGCGGACGGGUGAGUAAUGUCUGGGAAACUGCCUGAUGGAGGGGGAUAACUACUGGAAACGGUAGCUAAUACCGCAUAACGUCGCAAGCCAAAAGAGGGGGACCUUUCGGGGCCUCUUGCCAUCGGAUGUGCCCAGAUGGGAUUAGCUAGUAGGUGGGGUAACGGCUCACCUAGGCGACGAUCCCUAGCUGGUCUGAGAGGAUGACCAGCCACACUGGAACUGAGACACGGUCCAGACUCCUACGGGAGGCAGCAGUGGGGAAUAUU
rnacentral:rRNA from 1 species